rnacentral:tRNA from 1 species
CCGUCGCGGUGCCGGCGUGGUCGCCGGUGAUCAUCUUCACGGUGAUGCCCGCGCGGUGGCACUCCGCGAUCGCGUCGAUCGCCUCGGGCCGCGGCGGG